rnacentral:lncRNA from 1 species
CGGAGUCCGUCCGAGGGCUCCCGCACCUCGGGCUGCGGGAACAUUAAAAUCUCCCCAGAUGCUCACUGCUCUGAUCAUUUCCCCUACAGCAUCAGACAUGUUGGCAUCAUCUCUUAGUUGGGCCCUGUGGCCAGGGAACCUUUCAUGAAACCACCUCUGCAGUCCUGGAGAGUUGCUGUAGAAGAAGGAAAAGAGAAGAAGACAACACAACACAGGAGGGGAUAAGUACCUCUGGACACAAUGGAAGUAGUAGUUGUUGAGCAGAGGGAAAGGGAUAGGAGAAGGAUGUGGACUGCAGUGCGGCAGUGCCAGUGGACAUGAGAGAAAGAUCCCAUAGCCCUCUUGGUCUUGGUUGGAACCGGAGGAAAAUGAAAACUGGACAUCCAUCUUAGGACUUAAUCCUACGGAGACCACAAGCUGGAAGAGGCACUCAAUACCAGCAUGGCUUCUGUGGCAUUUUGAUGAGUAGUAUGGGCUCCACACUGAAAUAUUAAUAUCUUAUUGUUUUGAUGAUGAUGAUGAUGUUCAUUGGCCCAGGGCAAAAGGUAAAGGUUGUGUUAUAAAGCUGAUUUAUUCAAUCUCUGUGGAUGUUAACUCCACCCCAUCCCCUUAUUGAACAAUUACGAUGCCUAUAAAUAUUGUAUUGAGAAAGAAAAAAAAA